rnacentral:rRNA from 1 species
AGGUAGACCACCUGGUUGAUAGGCGCGGUGUGGAAGUGCAGCAAUGCAUUGAGCUAACGCGUACUAAUGAUCCGUGCGGCUUGACCAUAUAACCCCAAG